GCUACCAUGGCCGAGAUGGACCAAGGCGUUACCCUUAAGAUGUAAUCCUCGUAAGAGGGCGCAGGUUCGAACCCUGCUGGUAGCA
rnacentral:tRNA from 1 species